rnacentral:rRNA from 1 species
AGAGUUUGAUCCUGGCUCAGGAUGAACGCUGGCGGCGUGCUUAACACAUGCAAGUCGAACGAAACAAUCCGGACGAUCCCUUCGGGGUGACGCCGGUGCGUUUAGUGGCGGACGGGUGAGUAACGCGUGGGUAACCUGCCUCAUACAGGGGGAUAACAGUUGGAAACGACUGCUAAUACCGCAUAAGCGCACAGCAUCGCAUGAUGCAGUGUGAAAAACUCCGGUGGUAUGAGAUGGACCCGCGUUGGAUUAGCUAGUUGGUGAGGUAACGGCUCACCAAGGCGACGAUCCAUAGCCGACCUGAGAGGGUGACCGGCCACAUUGGGACUGAGACACGGCCCAAACUCCUACGGGAGGCAGCAGUGGGGAAUAUUGGACAAUGGGCGAAAGCCUGAUCCAGCGACGCCGCGUGAGCGAAGAAGUAUUUCGGUAUGUAAAGCUCUAUCAGCAGGGAAGAAAAAAUGACUGUACCUGACUAAGAAGCACCGGCUAAAUACGUGCCAGCAGCCGCGGUAAUACGUAUGGUGCAAGCGUUAUCCGGAUUUACUGGGUGUAAAGGGAGCGCAGGCGGUACGGCAAGUCUGAUGUGAAAGCCCGGGGCUCAACCCCGGUACUGCAUUGGAAACUGUCGAACUAGCGUGUCGGAGGGGUAAGCGGAAUUCCUAGUGUAGCGGUGAAAUGCGUAGAUAUUAGGAGGAACACCAGUGGCGAAGGCGGCUUACUGGACGAUAACUGACGCUGAGGCUCGAAAGCGUGGGGAGCAAACAGGAUUAGAUACCCUGGUAGUCC